UGCCGAAAUUUCGGUGGACAACUAUGACUUUAAGUUGAAUCCUUAAAAUCCAUAACUUACAAUUGGUAAAUGUGACCAUUUGUAGAUUCUGGGUGAAACGGGAAUCGAGUUUAAGCGAGCAUAAGACGCGCGUAAGAUUCUGGGUGAAACGGGAAUCGAGUUUAAGCGAGCAUAAGACGCGCGUAAGGUACAGACGCUCACUGUGGUGAUCCGCCAGCCUAGGGUACACAGUCUGCUGUUGGGAGUGCUCCUUU